rnacentral:misc_RNA from 1 species
GCCUCACUUCGAUUAACGCCAUCAAUUAGCUUCGCAGAAAAUGGUGCCAAGGGGUCUACUUUAGACAUCUCCAAAUCUUCCAAUUCCACUUCAUGAGUGUGUCCAUAGCCAUCAACAAACGUACACGACCUUAUAUUGAACCUAUAAACACAAUAUUUUUCACCUCCAUCAAGUAGCUCCUUAAGGCUUUCACAUCGAGAUGUACUAAUAAUAUUAGAAGAAUUUAAUACUCCGGAAACUGUAUAAGUGGACUCAUUCAUCACUCUCUGUUCAGACUGUAUGACUUCUUUAACACUUUCCAUAGCCAACUGAGCCUUUU